rnacentral:rRNA from 1 species
UACGUAGGGUGCAAGCGUUGUCCGGAAUUAUUGGGCGUAAAGAGCUCGUAGGCGGUCUGUUGCGUCGGGAGUGAAAACUUACAGCUUAACUGUGAGCGUGCUUUCGAUACGGGCAGACUUGAGGCAUUCAGGGGAGAACGGAAUUCCUGGUGUAGCGGUGAAAUGCGCAGAUAUCAGGAGGAACACCGGUGGCGAAGGCGGUUCUCUGGGAAUGUCCUGACGCUGAGGAGCGAAAGUGUGGGGAGCGAACAGG